AGUGAACGCUGGCGGUAGGCCUAACACAUGCAAGUCGAACGGCAGCACAGUAAGAGCUUGCUCUUACGGGUGGCGAGUGGCGGACGGGUGAGGAAUACAUCGGAAUCUACUUUUUCGUGGGGGAUCACGUAGGGAAACUUACGCUAAUACCGCAUACGACCUACGGGUGAAAGCAGGGGAUCUUCGGACCUUGCGCGAUUGAAUGAGCCGAUGUCGGAUUAGCUAGUUGGCGGGGUAAAGGCCCACCAAGGCGACGAUCCGUAGCUGGUCUGAGAGGCUGGUCGGCCACACUGGAACUGGGACACGGUCCAGACUCCUACGGGAGGCAGCAGUGGGGAAUAUUGGACAAUGGGCGCAAGCCUGAUCCAGCCAUACCGCGUGGGUGAAGAAGGCCUUCGGGUUGUAAAGCCCUUUUGUUGGGAAAGAAAAGCAGCAGGUUAAUACCCCGCUGUUCUGACGGUACCCAAAGAAUAAGCACCGGCUAACUUCGUG
rnacentral:rRNA from 1 species